UACUAGUGAUUGUCGUAGCAGGGUGGAAUUGCCAUUGAGUGUGUUAAAAAUACCGAGUAGUAGCUGUUUCGUGACAGCACUGUUCAAGAGAAACAUAAAAGCUGCAUGUGAUUUAAAAUUUUCUAACGUUAAAGUAAAAACAGCUGAAAUUAAUUUUAAUAAUAUACUUUUAUUUACUCUAAAAGAUAGAAAGUAACAUUUCCACGUAUGUAUACUCAUUAAAAAAACUAUUAUUGAGAUAAAGUUGGCCCUCCAUAUCUGCAGGUUCCUCAUCUGUGGAUUCAGCCACUCACAGAUCAACAAUGCAGGGGCCCAGGCCACGUCGGGCCGGUCGGGAGGGAGCCCUGCGGUCUCCGAGCCCGCGCAGCCCUCUGCCCACACGGCGCAGCCUGGACCCAAUGGGCUGUCCCCCUGCGAGCCUGCCCGCCCAGUGUUAGGGUUCAGGCCGUGUCUUCAGUCGUUCUCUGCGGCGGGCAGGCGCGUGCCCAGAGCUGCUGUUGUGAGGUGUCAGUUGGAGGAGGUUUCUUCAGACACGUGGACCCCGGAGGCAGAGGCCCCACCGUGCCACUGAGUUGGGCCUUCCGUGCCCGUAGCAGUGGGGACACUCACUGUGCUCCCCACACUUCCCUUGAGACUGAGAACCGGUCCUUGCAGUAUCAGACGCACACCCACAUGACGGUGGUUCCUUUAGUAGUAUCUGUGAUUGGGAAAAUACACAGUGGCAAAAGGUUUCUUUCUGUGAGCUUAGUGAACUUUUAUAAAAUCAUAAUGGGUUUUUUACCUAUGUGAUAAA